CUGAAAACUUAAUUUUCUACCUCCAAAAAGUCCAAAUCAUAAAUCUAUAUCCAUAUCACAUGGUCCAUAUCCAUUAUUUAGUCCAUAGAUAUAUCAUUUAAUCCACCCAUUUCUUCUCAAAGUGCAAAUAUCGAAUAUGAACAGCAAACAACCGAUUUUUCCUUUUUAUUCAUGAUACAUUGUUCGAAAAAAAAAAAUUUUGACCCCACAGUUCGAACGGUCUGGGUCCGUCCCUGGUGAUGAGAGUCCAUAUGUAGCAAAACCAUUGGUAGAUGUCAUGGGUAAAGAGACCCUUUUUGCCCCAACUUUCCCUUUGAGGAAACUUGCUUUUUCUCCACAUAUAUACCCUGAAUGUAGACUGAAAGAUUAUGCAACUAAUAUAUUAGUAAGGGCACGAGUCAAGAAGAGAAAAUUUGAAAAGGAAAUAACUUUUUGUACUCUGAACAAUUCGAAACAAGGCAAUAUUACUUGCAUGGGAUGGAAGACUGGAACCCAAAAGGUAGACACAAGUCUCUGAGUAAUACAGUUGCGGAGAUUAAAUUUUGAAAGAGGAGAGACAGAGAAGCAAAGGAAACGCCGGAUGGGAUGGUGCUGGUGUUGAUGGCAAUGGUGGGAGCUCCAUCAUCAAUAAAUGUUGGAUGUUGAUUAUAAGUACAGACAUUUAAAGGACAGAGAUUUAAGUGAAAAUUAAAUCGGUGUAUUCAUUUCAAAAUCUUGAAUUGAACCAACAAAUUUUAUGGAUCAUUGGACCAAUAGGUGUGUCCUUUCUAUGAGAAAUGAGUGACAUUAGGAGGAGCCCUUCUUAACAACUCCAAUUUUGACAUAUUUGUUGUCUCUUAGUAAUGGCUUAAACGUUUUAAAUGUUUGUUUAUGGUACGCAAUCAGAACCAUAUGUAUGAAAUGGAUUGCUGCCAUAAAUCCAACCUCACUCUUGCCACGGGUAUGAAUUGGC
rnacentral:lncRNA from 1 species